rnacentral:tRNA from 1 species
GGCCGAGUGGUGGAAUUGGUAGACACGAUGGAUUCAAAAUCCAUUGGGGUUAAACCCGUGCCGGUUCGAGUCCGGCCUCGGCUACCA